GGAGUUUUAGCAUUGUACCGACGGAUUGAACGCAUUGGCGGCCCAAAAGCCUCAGUAGUACCAGCGCUAGAGAAAUGGGUUAGCGAAGGAAAAACUGUUAAAAAAGAACGACUCCAAUAUCUUGUUCAUCUCAUGAAGUAUUAUAGGCGCUUCAAUCACGCUGUAGAAGUCGUAUCUUUUUUCCCUUCCUAUUUUCCUCUUUCUUGGAAUUAGAAGGAUUACGGGAAUCAUUCAUGGAAUUAGGGCGUCUGCAAAUUUUGUUUUCUUAAUUGCAUAACUUGGUUUGACUUUCUUAACUUGAUCGCUAAAAUCAUGAAGUUUUCAAUGCCCAACAAUUGUUUGUGAAUUUGCCGCGUUGGGGUUGAAAUCUUUUUUUUAUCUGUGCUAUGUGAUUGAAGCUAAGAAAUUUUAAAUGUGUAUUUUGUUGUUUC
rnacentral:misc_RNA from 1 species